rnacentral:lncRNA from 1 species
GGACAGUCUAGUGCUGAGAGUCUGUGGCGGUCACACUGAAGUCAGAGAAUGUCCCCAUCAGACACUGCAUUGACUCUGGGCGCACGCACACACAGGCGCGCGCGCGUGUGCGCGCACACACGCGCGCGCACACACACACACACACACACACAGACCUAGAGUCAACAACAUUCGUGGCGCAUCCACCAGGCAGGCAGGCAGGCAGGCAGGCAGGCAGGCACUAGUUAAGGCAGACACACACCCUCAGCUUGGGCUUCCUCCCUCACACCCAGCCCAAGGCUCCUCCCACUCCCAGCUAGGGAUCCUUCUGCCCUCCUCCCCAGCCUCUCCCCUCCAGACCCAAGCCUGAAGGUGGGGACAGUCUCAGCAGCCAGGGACCCAGGAGCCCUAACUCCCACUCCCAGAGUCAGUGUGCGGUUUGGGAGAAAAUGUGUCGGAUAUUUUGGGGCGGUCACGUGGGCGGGCGGGCUCCGAGAGGCCCCGGGACCGUCCCAGCCUAGAGUCCGUGCCCCCCGCCCCAGAGCCCCCCAUCACCGGGAGCCCCUGCCACUGCGACGCUCCAUCCUCGCGACCGCCCGACGCCGGGACCUCGGGGCUCGGCGGCCUCCCUUCCCCCUCCCUCCCCCUCCAGGUGAGUCAGGCGGGGAAGCAGGCUCGGCGCCACGGACGGACGCCCGGGUCCCCCGGCGAGCUUGGGCCGGGGGCGGGGGCGCCGGGGAGCCACGCCGGCUCCGUCCCUCCCCGGGCUGGUCCGGCUGUCCGCACGGGUGGAGGGGGGCUGACUUGGGGGUCAGCCCUGACGUGGGAAGGGAAUGGGGACGAUUUUAGACAGGCUGGGCUGGGCUGGGCUUUAUCCACCCUUUCGUCGCGAGGAGUAGUGAGCGAGCUUUACGGGGGGGGCGGGGGGAGUCUUGGGCCAGGGGGUUCCUAUCCUACUCUUGUGCCUGGAGUGGGAGGGGAGACAGGGUCCGCUCCUGUGGGGAAAGUCCACCGACGGCCUGCCCUCUGGCUUCCCCUGGGGAAUCUAAGGAGAGGACUUUUGGUCCGCGCUGGUCCAAGUUCCUCCUUCCCUAGCGGAAUGGCUCAGCCUGGACAUCAGAAGGGCGAAGGAAAGGUCCAGAGGCAAGUGAUCCUGGCCCACUGGGUCCAGAAGCUUGGAGAGACAAGUGGAUAAGAUAGGGGUCAGUGAAGUUCCCCUCUCUCAUAUCCCCAAUUUUGGGUGUGAGUCUUGGCAGUAUUCUCUGAGAGGAGCCCAAAUUGAACAAAGGAAGGGCAGGGAUUCAGGGGCAGGGACCCCAGAGUCCCCGUUCUGGGGCCCUACUGACGCUGCUGCCUCACGGUCUCCGGCACUUAGAGCCCAGGUCCCUCAACUUGACCCAGCGGGUAGGAGAGAAUCUCUGCAGGUGGCCAGAGGGUAAGAGUGUGCAAAGGUGGGGGCAGGGCAGGGGCGCCUGAGGAGGGGUCUGGAGGGCAAGAAGCUGAGAUGGCUGUGCCCCUUUGGGGCCCAUGUUCAGAGCAGCUGCCAUCCCAGUCUUCACGUUUGAGGCUCCUGCCCUGACCGUCCCUCCUCAGAUGUCGAUCGGGGUUGAGGACCGCAGGCAGUGUCCCUUAUCCUUGAGGCCAGAAAAGAGAGGACAGGGGGCAGGAGGCGGCAUGUGCGGGGUGCCUGGGGCUUGGGUAUCCCAAACAGAGAAACACAUACUCACACCCACACACAUGCACACACACGCUGUGGCUUAGAGCCUAGUAAGCAGCACAGGGCACACCCCCCCACCCCGGCACACCCCCACCCCUGGCUCAGAAAGCCACCUAACUGGCACCUCCAGUUCCCCCCUCUGCCCCACCCUCCCCGUGCCCUCCGAUGCCCACACACAUUCCACUGGCAUUGCCUGCCUGCCUCCUGGGCACUGCCCCUCCCUGGGACCAGUGAGGUAGAGGGAGGGGCACCUGGGGAUGGGAGGUGGAGACUCCAGGGUCUGGACUCCCCCAAGGGUGGCACCAGGCCAGGGAGACCUGGCCCACCGCUGCCUCCUGGGGAGCAGGCUGGGGGCCCAGGCUAGAGCAGAGGAUGCCUGGGUUCUCCGCCCAGGCUGGGGAUGGGGUCAUGGAAAAAGGUGGUCGUGUUUAUACAGAGGGGAGGGGGGCAGCGGGUGGAGAGCAGCCGACAAGAGCAG